UACGUAGGGUGCGAGCGUUGUCCGGAAUUAUUGGGCGUAAAGGGCUCGUAGGCGGUUUGUCGCGUCGGGAGUGAAAACCUUGGGCUUAACUCAGGGCUUGCUUUCGAUACGGGCAGACUGGAGUACUGCAGGGGAGACUGGAAUUCCUGGUGUAGCGGUGGAAUGCGCAGAUAUCAGGAGGAACACCGGUGGCGAAGGCGGGUCUCUGGGCAGUAACUGACGCUGAGGAGCGAAAGCGUGGGGAGCGAACAGG
rnacentral:rRNA from 1 species